rfam:Rhizoclosmatium globosum strain JEL800 BCR33scaffold_23, whole genome shotgun sequence.
GGGCAGUUGACCGAGCGGUCCAAGGUGUCACGUUAAGGCCGUGAUCUAUUUCGUAGGCGUGGGUUCGAAUCCCACACUGCUCA